rnacentral:rRNA from 1 species
AGAGUUUGAUCAUGGCUCAGGAUAAACGCUGGCGGCGCACAUAAGACAUGCAAGUCGAACGAACUUAAGCCUUAGUUUACUAUGGUAGCGGUUAGUGGCGGACUGGUGAGUAACACGUAAGCAACCUGCCUAUCAGAGGGGAACAACAGUUAGAAAUGACUGCUAAUACCGCAUAUGCCUUAAUCAUCGCAUGAUGAAAGAGGGAAAGGAGCAAUCCGCUGAUAGAUGGGCUUGCGUCUGAUUAGAUAGUUGGUGGGGUAACGGCCUACCAAGUCAACGAUCAGUAGCCGGACUGAGAGGUUGAACGGCCACAUUGGGACUGAGAUACGGCCCAGACUCCUACGGGAGGCAGCAGUCGGGAAUAUUGCGCAAUGGAGGAAACUCUGACGCAGUGACGCCGCGUGCAGGAAGAAGGUUUUCGGAUUGUAAACUGCUUUAGACAGGGAAGAAAAAGACAGUACCUGUAGAAUAAGCUCCGGCUAACUACGUGCCAGCAGCCGCGGUAAUACGUAGGGAGCAAGCGUUAUCCGGAUUUAUUGGGUGUAAAGGGUGCGUAGACGGAGAAGCAAGUUGGUUGUGAAAUCCCUCGGCUCAACUGAGGAACUGCAACCAAAACUACAUCCCUUGAGUGCUGGAGAGGAAAGUGGAAUUCCUAGUGUAGCGGUGAAAUGCGUAGAUAUUAGGAGGAACACCAGUGGCGAAGGCGACUUUCUGGACAGUAACUGACGUUGAGGCACGAAAGCGUGGGGAGCAAACAGGAUUAGAUACCCUGGUAGUCCACGCCGUAAACGAUGGAUACU